GAUGAACGCUGGCGGCGCGCCUAACACAUGCAAGUCGAACGAUUAAAGCACCUUCGGGUGUGUAUAAAGUGGCGAACGGCUGAGUAACACGUGGGCAACCUGCCCCUUUCAUUGGGAUAGCCACGGGAAACCGUGGAUAAUACCGAAUACUUCGAGACUUCCGCAUGGAAGACUCGAGAAAGCUCCGGCGGAGAGGGAUGGGCCCGCGGCCCGUUAGCUUGUUGGUGGGGUAACGGCCUACCAAGGCAAUGAUGGGUAGCUGGGUUGAGAGACCGACCAGCCAGAUUGGGACUGAGACACGGCCCAGACUCCUACGGGAGGCAGCAGUGGGGAAUCUUGCACAAUGGGCGAAAGCCUGAUGCAGCGACGCCGCGUGCGGGAUGAAGGCCUUCGGGUUGUAAACCGCUUUCAGCAGGGACGGGGCGAAAGUGACGGUACCUGCAGAAGAAGCCCCGGCUAACUACGUG
rnacentral:rRNA from 1 species